rnacentral:lncRNA from 1 species
UCGAUGGGCCUAUCUCCUUCCUGGAAUGCCUUUUAGGAAGGAUCUCCAGGAAUCCUGUGGGGAGAGGCUGGUGCUGGGGGAAGACAGAGGAAUGCCUGGAGAGGACAGAAGUGAGACUACACCUGUUGGUCUGGAUUGCAGCUGGAAUUGGAAGGGAAAUGCAUUUCCAUUGAAGGAAGAAGUGUAACAGUGAGCAGGCAGGUGUCAGCGGAUCUCAAGAGAAUAAUGUCAACUGGACAAUGGCUUAGAGGCAGGAGGAGGCAGAUCAGCUAGGCAGAUGUGCAGAAGUUAAGUGUGGUUUCAUGCAGAAACUUCCAAAUGGAUUCAAGAGCCAAAGCCUUCAAGAAGUUGGUGUCAUUGUCACUUGGAAUAUGUUUGUAUUAAUACAGGUAGAAUAUGUUAAUAAACCAUAUUCUUAUCAAGAAUCUUCCAUUUACAGCCCUUAUUUUCUCCCUUUAUUUUUGCCCUUUCUUUUCUGCCUGGCUGUUUAACUCCUGGAUAUCUGAU